rnacentral:rRNA from 1 species
UUCAGCAGUCAAGAAUAUUAGUCAAUGGCCUAACGGCUGAACCAGCAACUUUGGAGGAUGUAAGUCUAUGUAGGGUUCGCCUUACCUAGACGUUUCGACUACGUCGUAUAAAGUUCUAGAUAGAAUACUGAUAAUGACAAUUUUCUAUCUAUAUGUCUUGACCAAAUCUCGUGCCAGCAGUCGCGGCAAUACGAGGAAGACUAGUGUUAUUCAUCUUUAUUAGGUUUAAAGGGUACCUAGACGGCAUAUCAAGCCCCAAAAGGGAACAGAUAUACUAGAGUUUUAUGUGAGAGGAAUAUAUUAGUACUAUUGGUGUAGAGAUGAAAUUCUUUGAUACUAAUAGGACGGAUAACAGCAAAAGCAAACCUUUAUGUAAAAACUGACGUUGAGGGACGAAGGCUUGGGUCGCGAAUAGGAUUAGAUACCCUAGUAGUCCAGGCAGAGAAUUAUGAAUGUUAUAGACUUGCGUAUGCAAGUGUAUAAAUGAAAGUGUAAGCAUUCCACCUCAAGAGUAAUGUGGCAACGCAGGAACUGAAAUCAUUAGACCGUUUCUGAAACCAGUAGUGAAGUAUGUUAUUUAAUUCA